rnacentral:rRNA from 1 species
GUGUCAGCAGCCGCGGUAAUACAGGGGGUGCAAACGUUGCUCGGAAUCAUUGGGCGUAAAGCGCGCGUAGGCGGUUAUUUAUGUCGGAUGUGAAAGCCCUUGGCUUAACUGAGGAAGUGCAUCCGAAACUGAAUAGCUUGAGUACCAAAGAGGGUCGCGGAAUUCCCGGUGUAGAGGUGAAAUUCGUAGAUAUCGGGAGGAACACCGGUGGCGAAGGCGGCGACCUGGGUGGAAACUGACGCUGAGGCGCGAAAGCGUGGGGAGCAAACAGGAUUAGAAACCCCAGUAGUCC